AGCCCACACAGCCCGUACAGCCUGCAUAUCUCGCAUCGCUCUUCCACCUCCUACAGCAGCCACUAUCGCGGCCGCGCUCCGUAGCGCCGCCACCAUGGUCCAUGGAUAACCCUAGCUCAGUCCCAUCGCUGCCACCGUUGCCGUCGUCCGCGCACGGCCGCGCCUAUGUGCUCGUCUUCGACCGUCGCCGCCGCGGCCAUAGCACAUCGUGAGGCAAUCAAGGGGAGGAGGAAGCCAUCACAACUGUCGUCUGCUGAUCCUCGUUCAUGGUUAUCCCAUUUCAUUUUUUUGGUCAGCCUACCAGCUUUACUUUGAUAUAAUUGUUUUCUGAAUAUGAUCUGUUUCUGAAUGUUUCUUCAUGCAGGACCACAUGUCCACAUCAAUUUCCUGCGCUGACUAAUCCAUCCAUCUUCAUCCGCUAUCAGCUCUAGGACCUGCCGAAGAUGGAGUCAUGCCUAAACCAGGCUCAGCAAGCUUUUGUUUCGUUUCUUGCAUAGUUUUCUACAUGCAGCUGUCAAUCAAAUUUCUGCUUCACGUGGCACAUAGAACCCCCAAAAAAACUGGCUGUUAUUAAGUAGUUGAAAUUGUGUAAUUGGGAGAUGGUUGUUUGCCUUGGUAAAAACUUCCAGUUUAGCUUGAUAAAAGAUCCUUUGAGUGAUAUGAUGUCCUUUGAAGGUAGCAACAGGUAUGCAGAUUAUAUUCCUUUUGAGCAGUGCAUCUGAGAAUUGAUUUUA